rnacentral:rRNA from 1 species
CCUACGGGAGGCAGCAGUGAGGAAUAUUGGUCAAUGGGCGCUAGCCUGAACCAGCCAAGUAGCGUGAAGGAUGACUGCCCUAUGGGUUGUAAACUUCUUUUAUAUGGGAAUAAAGUGCAGUAUGUAUACUGCUUUGCAUGUACCUUAUGAAUACGGAUCGGCUAACUCCGUGCCAGCAGCCGCGGUAAUACGGAGGGUCCGAGCGUUAUCCGGAUUUAUUGGGUUUAAAGGGAGCGUAGGCGGGUUGGUAAGUCAGUUGUGAAAGUUUGCGGCUCAACCGUAAAAUUGCAGUUGAUACUGGCAGCCUUGAGUACAGUAGAGGUAGGCGGAAUUCGUGGUGUAGCGGUGAAAUGCUUAGAUAUAACGAAGAACUCCGAUUGCGAAGGCAGCCUGCUGGACUGUAACUGACGCUGAUGCUCGAAAGUGUGGGUAUCAAACAGGAUUAGAUACCCUUGUAGUC